rnacentral:lncRNA from 1 species
UAAUUUGGGUCUUAAGUUGAUGAUCAACAGACAAAUUCGGCACCUGAAAACUGUCUGUGUUUACUUCCAGAGCUCAGCUGAAAGGAGCCUCAAUGGGCUUUGUGUAAAAGGUGUCUGUGUGAAGCAAUGGAGGUGACUGCAAUCCCACCUGUGGCCCAUUAGCACAACAACACGGUGCAAUAACAUUAACGCUGCCGUCCCCUCCCAAAACACAGGUAAUCUAUCAGCCUAAACACACACACACAAAAGACCCCCCCACCACCACCCCUCAAACACACACACAAACACACAUAUAAUCCUGCCCCACAUUCAGGGCAAACCUGGUGGGCAACAUUAAAUUAAUCAUUUAUGGAAUCUGAGUUCCUCUGUCCUGCUGUUUGAGAGCCCAUAGUCCCUCUCUCUCUCUCUCUCUCUCUCUCUCUCUCUCUCUCUCUCUCUCUCUCUCUCUCUCUCUCUCUCUCUCUCUCUCUCUCUCUCUCUCUCUCUCUCUCUCUCUCUCUCUCUCUCUCUCUCUCUCUCUCUCUCACACACACACACACACGUAUGCUCAGGUAUGACACAAACACAAUAACGGGCCCAGCGGUCGACCUCCUAGCGCCGGCUGGCAUUAGCACGGCUCUUAUCUGCUUUAUGACUUCCACUCUGCCUGCUUUAUUUGUGUACUUUGACUUUCGCUGUAAAGCUCCGUCUGACCCCAAGUAGCGCCGCGCGGUGUCAAAGGUCAAAUCUGGAACUUAUUUCAACUCAUAAAUUUCAGCAGAACGCACUCAUACUGCGGCCACUUGAGGAGUUUGACCCACGGAUAAAAGUCAAUCGAGUGAGCAGCUUUUUUGGGGGGAGUUAUGUCGAAUGAUUUUCCCUCCUUUAGCACCCUUGUGGCUCACUUGGCUGAAGCAGGUAUUGUGUAACCAUGUGUGUAUCCGGACCAGGACCUUUGUAGCCUGUGAUCGCCCUGUCUCCUCAACACCUCCUGUCCAUUUUCACAAUAAAAUAAAAUGUCUGACAGUGACCUUGGAGGGUUCCCAAGAGACUGAAAUGAAGUUUCACCAUUUUUGACAUUUAUUAGGACAUAGGUUAACUCACUGCUGAACUUAAAUGGCUUUUAACUGUAAUGCAGAUAUUUUAGUGCAUUCGGUGGGAAAUGAAAUCUUUCUCAAUACUUUUGUGGUUGUGGUGACUUCUGAAAGGCCAAUAGUUCUGCGUAAAUCAGGCAAGAUGCUGAUUCUUUCCAAAUGCUUGUAUGGCCAAAAGUGUCCUCUUUAUAUGAUGGAUGAGCAUGUGGAUCAAAAGCCAUGUGGACUAAAGAGUUAUUUCAAAAUCUUCCUUAUUUUUUUGGGCUUUACAACACUUUCUUUUUUUCAUCCUAACUGCAAACAUAUAAAGUUGAGAAAGUUCAAAGUUACAUUUAGACUCAAAGUCGGGGUCUGGGUAGGCCUGGUCCAGUCCAGUCCUGCAGCUUAAACCCUGGAAAAACAAACAUGUUGUGAUUCCAUGUUGUCCAAUACUAAUGUUAUGUAGUCGUAUUGGGUUAACCUCAGACAAAAAUACACUAAAAAAUACAACUCCGCUUUAAAGCUCCUGUAGGGAGUUUUUAUCUGGUUAUGAAACCAGUUGGAAUUAAAACAGAUGCCUCGACAUACCUGACAAAAACAAACAUUUAUGUAUGAUAAAUGUACCAAGUUGUCUCCAAGUCGACCUAUAACCAAAACAAUCAACAAACUGCAUUGACACAUGGAUAUUUGUCACUUUUAUUGACAAAUCCUGUCUUUAUCUUUUUAAGUUUUGUUUACAUCCUGCUUUCCCUAGCAAUACAUCUAUGCUAUUUAUCUUCCAAAGCCUGGCCUCCAAAUUCUGGAGCUUGCACAAAAACCUCUCCCUCUGUAUUUCUCCCCAGCUCAGCAGCGGCGAGGUG